rnacentral:rRNA from 1 species
GACGAACCGUCCUAACGUUGUUCGGAAUCACUGGGCUUAAAGGGCGCGUAGGCGGGUCACCAAGUCCGGGGUGAAAUCCUCCGGCUUAACCGGAGAAUAGCCUUGGAUACUGGUGGUCUGGAGGGUGGUAGGGGCAUGUGGAACUUCCGGUGGAGCGGUGAAAUGCGUUGAUAUCGGAAGGAACGCCGGUGGCGAAAGCGACGUGCUGGACCACUUCUGACGCUGAGGCGCGAAAGCCAGGGGAGCAAACGGG